UCCAAUUUGGAAGCUACUAUUUUUUGACAUUGGCCAUAAGUACCGAACAUGACUGCGGUUUCUGCACAAGUGGAUGUCAGUGCAGGGUACAACUGCAUUUUCACCUUAACUGUAUCUAAUGGAUGACUGACAAAUACCGAAACUCCUCCUCCAGCUGCACCGGCCAUUAAGUCAACUUUAAGGUUUUCGUCCAUUUUAUCAGAUCUUAAAUAACAAUAACAAAUUUACUCUACACAUAAAUCUAAUUAAUUGAAAUAAAUACAAGAUCUGACAAGCCAUUGCUAUCACUGAACUGAGAAAUUAAUACAAAAUCAACUCAAAUAAUUACAUAAGAAAUCAAAGUAAGUUCGAAUAUGUAUUUCAUGCAUUACUCUUUAAAACUUUACGUAGUAAACAAAAAUUGAAAGAGAUAAGAUAGUGAUAACUUUGUUGAGUCGCUUAAAUUGUUAAGGCUAAACUUUACUAUACACAUUAAACAUCGAGACUCCCAUAUAAUACAUCCCUUCAUUCAUCCGUAUUUUUUCUUUCUUUAGAUUUUUUUUAUGUUUUGUUUAUUGCACAACACUACAAAAAUUGCAACUCAAAUUUAAUUAAUUUUUAUAAUGUUAAUUUUUGGGAUAUAAAAGUCACUUGAGGAGUUGUAACAAUAGUAAUGAUCCUAUUACUAAUCUGAUUGGCAUUACAUUAUCCAAAGGCCACCAAAUUGUUUUUGUAUUUAUAUCGUACAUUUAAAUAUAAUUUACAUUAGCGUAUCUUAUUUCAUCUAGUUUGUCUAAUUAGAUACACAUUCUUAA